GAUCCUGGCUCAGGAUGAACGCUGGCGGCGUGCUUAACACAUGCAAGUCGAACGAUGAAGCUCCAGCUUGCUGGGGUGGAUUAGUGGCGAACGGGUGAGUAACACGUGAGUAACCUGCCCUUGACUCUGGGAUAAGCCUUGGAAACGGGGUCUAAUACCGGAUAGGAGCAUUCACCGCAUGGUGGGUGUUGGAAAGAAUUUCGGUCUUGGAUGGACUCGCGGCCCAUCAGCUUGUUGGUGAGGUAAUGGCUCACCAAGGCGACGACGGGUAGCCGGCCUGAGAGGGUGACCGGCCACACUGGGACUGAGACACGGCCCAGACUCCUACGGGAGGCAGCAGUGGGGAAUAUUGCACAAUGGGCGCAAGCCUGAUGCAGCGACGCCGCGUGAGGGAUGACGGCCUUCGGGUUGUAAACCUCUUAGCAGUAGGGAAGAAGCGAAAGUGAC
rnacentral:rRNA from 1 species